rnacentral:lncRNA from 1 species
CCAGGAGCCUGCCUGAAGAACAGGGUGAAAAAAAAAAAGUCCAGGAGCCCGCCUGAAGAACAGGGUGAAGAAAAAAGGAAGUUCAGGAGCCCACCUGAAGAACAGGGUGAAGAAAAAAAGGAAGUCUAGGAACCUACCUAAAGAACAGGGUGAAGAAGUAACAAGUCAAGAGCCCGUCUGAAAAACAGGGUGAAGAAAUUAUAAGUCCAG